GUUAUAGACUUAAAGACUCAGCUUCUUAAAUCUCAUAGGACUACUCCCUUCUGCUAGGAUCGAUAGAUCCCAUCUAAGUACACACCCUACUCCUAUAGUGGACCAACUGUCACCAACAUCCACUACAAGGGCUCAUUGAGAUCCAUGUUUAUGUGUAGUUAAACUCCAGCAGCUUCACUGCGAGCAGCUGUAGCAUCGUAGGUCAAAGGACCAGUCAUACAACUGCAGUAUCGAGAAAGUUACUUAUGAAUGGACAGACAUCCAUGUGACUUCUCGUAUUGAUCACACUCAAUGCUAGUUGUUCUCUAACAACCACCUGCACUCUCAUUCCAGUGUCACUACACCGC
rnacentral:lncRNA from 1 species